rnacentral:rRNA from 1 species
AACGAACGCUGGCGGCAUGCCUAACACAUGCAAGUCGAACGAGACCUUCGGAUCUAGUGGCGCACGGGUGCGUAACACGUGGGAACCUGCCCUUAGGUUCGGAAUAACUCCCCGAAAGGGGUGCUAAUACCGGAUAAUGUCCUCGGACCAAAGAUUUAUCGCCUUUGGAUGGGCCCGCGUUGGAUUAGCUAGUUGGUAGGGUAAAAGCCUACCAAGGCGACGAUCCAUAGCUGGUCUGAGAGGAUGAUCAGCCACACUGGGACUGAGACACGGCCCAGACUCCUACGGGAGGCAGCAGUGGGGAAUAUUGGACAAUGGGCGAAAGCCUGAUCCAGCAAUGCCGCGUGAGUGAUGAAGGCCUUAGGGUUGUAAAGCUCUUUUACCCGGGAUGAUAAUGACAGUACCGGGAGAAUAAGCUCCGGCUAACUCCGUG